GCAGUCCAUGGGGUCACAAAGAGUCAGACACGACUUAGCGACUGAACAAUAACACUCUUCCCUGUGACCCACCUGACCCGUCUCUACCUUCUGCUUGCUACCAAGUCUAAGGGGCUGGGGCCACACUAUCCAAGGCUGCUGGGCGACAGCCCUGGCUCCCCUGAGCUUGAGAAGGGAGGGAAGGGUCUCUAAGCUCAGGGGCCCUGCUGCCCCCUCCCCCUGCCUGUCUUCCCACCUUCCCCUCCACAGGCUUCUCCCCAGCCAGGCAUGCAGGCCCAGGGUGGGGUGCGGCCUUGGCAGGACAGAGAGUCUCUAUUGUCAGGUGUUGUGCCUCGGUUACCAAGGAGGGAGGCUGGGGCUGGCUCCGCGCCUUGUUUGGGCCCCAGGCUGAACGCGAGGGUGGGGAGGGAAGGCAGAGGAUUUGGGGUGUGGAGCUCAGGCCCUGCUCCCAGCGCCUGCGGGCAGGGAGGGCCCGCUGGGACUUGCAGCCACCUGGGCCAAUUCAGACUUGCCUCCGCCCUAGCUUUCUGCUGGCUCUGGGACACGCCAGCCAGGUGGAGCCAGCUGGAGGCAGGGGGCCCCAGCACCGCAGGCGCUGGCAUGUCCUGAUGCCCAGGACUGACUCUGUACCAUCCAGCACUCGGGCCAGCCCUGGGAGAGGGUCCCAGGACUCUGGGUCAAGUCAUCACCUCUCUUGGACCUCAGUUUCCUCACCUGUCAGAAACUGGCCUAGGUGGUCCCUGAGAAGGCUCCCUCGUUCUGUUUGCCCACCAGGAGCUGAGCCGGCUUGAACCAGGGGUGCAGGAGCAGGGCUGUGGGCAAGGGACUCACAGCUGGCGGGGAGGCCCUGUUUCUGAGGGCUCCCUGUACAACUGCUUAGGCCACUGCCUGGCCCAGGACUGGCACCCCCAAGUGCCAGUGGGUGGCUGAGGACAGAAGCCCAGGGCUGUGCUCAGGAGUGGUGUCAGAGGGGAGGGGGCCCCCUGGCCUCUAGUCCGAGGGCCGGGGCUAC
rnacentral:lncRNA from 1 species